AGCUGACCAAAGAGCAUCUGUUUAAGUAAUGAAUACUAAUACUUUAAUCUAGGUAGCAAGAUGAAAUUAACAACAGUUUUCUUUCUACAAGCUCUAAUACUCAUUUGACAUCCUUAAAAUGAUCCAGUCUCAAUAGAACAUCAAUCACUGUUGAGCAUCUGUGAAAUUCAUUGUUCCAAAAUGGCAGCUUAAAGGAUCUCUUUGCCAUAUAAGCACAUUGAAAACCAAAAAUUUAUAAAAUAUACUGUUCCUAUGUGCAAACUAAAAAAAAAAUCACAUAAAUGUCAUUUGGGACAGAUCACAAAUUAGAGUUUGGUUAGUACUUUCAGGAUUUUGACUUUCACCAC